CCCCUAGAUGUUCUGGGCCGCACGCGCGCUACACUGAACAGUUCAACAAGUCUUAACCUUGGCCGAUAGGUCUGGGUAAUCUUUGAACGCUGUUCGUGAUUGGGAUAGACCUUUGCAAUUAUGGGUCUUCAACGAGGAAUUCCUAGUAAACGCAAGUCAUCAGCUUGCAUUGAUUACGUCCCUGCCCUUUGUACACACCGCCCGUCGCACCUACCGAUUUAAUGGUCCGGUGAAAUCUCGGGACGGCGGCUUGGUCGCUUGCGUCCGACUGCUGAAACUUGAUUAAACCAUAUCAUUUAGAGGAAGGUGAAGUCGUAACA
rnacentral:rRNA from 1 species